ensembl:lncRNA
GGUUUGCUGUGUAUCCUAACGUGUGAAGCAGUAGGCACUCAACCAAGAGCCGUUGAGUGAAAGAGUAGACCAGUUGUGCAGCAAAGUCCCUGUGGCCUGGAGGAAACUGCAAGGCUGGUUCUCUGCAGCACUGCCUUUAGAAGCUCGAAGCAGCUUCUGAAGCGGAGGUCCAGGAGCCAGCCUCAUCUGAGCAACAAGAUUACAGACCCACUGGGAGCAGAGAUGUGACCAUGCUUGCGUGCUCCCCUCCCACCGUGAUACAGCCCUGGGCACCUGGACAGCAGUCUGGUGGACCCAGCCUAGCGUGCAGAUGAUGGCCAGGUCUGAGCAAUGGCUGGGUCCCUUACCAGCUGAGUGACCUUGUGGAGUCCCCUGACAGCUCCAAGCCUCAGUUUCCACAUCUAGAAAUUGGUGAUAUGAAAACACCUGUUUUACAGAACUGUGAAAGUCUCUUCUUGGUUAAGCCCAGACUGUCGUCCUCCAAUUGCGUCCUCCAAUUUAAUUACCACAGAAGUAAAAAAACAGGCAUUCACCUCCUCCUUUCUGUGACAAUGAGCUCUCCAGGCUUCCCUCUGUCUCCUAGUUAUUUUUAUUUUCUUGGCCAGCUCCUCUUACUUUUCCCCUAAAUAGUAAACAAUGUGCAUUUGCAUGGUCAAUGGCACAGGUGUGGGUCCUACAUUGCCCAUAUUGGGGCUGCAGUUAUACCACUUGCGAGAGUGUAACCUUAGGUGUUAUUUUACUUCUCAGGGACCCAGUUCCUCCGUUUAGGGAUCACUCCUCACAAAGUCUUUCUGGAUGUCUAACCCCUCCUCCCAGGAUGGUCUAGAUGCUCACCCACAGCACCCUGGGAAUAUCUCUAUCCUAGAAAUUUGUCCUUUUUCUUGUCUGUGUCCUCUACUAGGUCAUAACAUUAAAGACAAGGUUCUCAUGUUCAAAUGCCUAAAAUGUUCAAAUGAGAAAUAGCAGUAUUGAGUGAGUUAAUUUGUGUAAAGCACCUAGAACAGGACUUGGUGGGGAGUUUUAUAAAAUUGUUAACUAUUAUUUCUAUUUUAAUGAUCCAAAGUGAAAUACAUUAUCCUUCAGCAUCAAGUCCAGUCAAUUCUUUCUCUGUAAAACUUCUCAAAUUCAUUCUUUUGCUCCUCUCCAUCCCUCUUCCUAAUUGCUUUUUCUAAUUAAUUAAUUUUUUAAAUUGAAGGACAAUAGCUUUACAGAAUUUUGUUGUUUUCUUAACUCAGGCCCUCAGCAUAUCCAGCAUGGAUUACUCCCUCAUUCUUUUAAUUGAUUUUCCUUAUCUGUCUUGCCUUCUAAUCUAUUUUCCACACAAAAAUCUGAUCAUAUAUCUCCCCUGUAUUAAGUUUUCAAAUGGCAUACCACAGUGAUGAAGACACAAAAUCCAAACUCAUAGAGUGUGAUGUACAAUGUGCUUCAUGAUUUUUUUUCUUGCUUAUUUCUUUAGUCUCAUCUAUCUCCGCUGAUCCCUCAUGUCUGGACACAUCUGCUCUCACUUCCCUCUUGGUCUAGAAUGCUCUUACUCCCCUUCUUCUUCUGACCACUUCUUUGGCAUCCACUGAGGCUUCGUUUAGGGAUCACUCCUCACAAAGUCUUUCUGGAUGUCUAACGCCUCCUCCCAGGAUGGUCUAGAUGCUCAUCCACAGCACCCUGGGAAUAUCUCUAUCCUAGCAAUUUGCCAAUUUGCAUGUCUGUCUCCUCCACUAGAUCCUAAACUUAUUAAAGACAAGGAUCUCAUGUUCAAAUGCUUAGCUCUUGGCACAGUUUCUGGCACCUCAUCUGGGCUCAGUGCAUGUGGAAUUAAUUGAAUAAUGAUCCCUACUGAAUUUGUCAGGCGCCUUCUGAUUGCAAGUGACAGAAAUUGGCAUUAGGCAUCACUGGAUCCUUGUGCUCAAAUGACACCACCAGGACAGUAUCUCUCUCCAGCUCUUGGCUUUGUUUUCUUCUGUCUUGGUUUCAUUCUCAAGCUAGUGCCCUGAAAAUAACCAUCAGGAGCUUUGCAACCUGAGAAAUCCUGAAAUUAAUGGCAUCUCUUUCCCAACAUUUUCAGUGAAAGUCUGGACACUACUGUUAUUAGACUAAUUUGAUUUAGUUGCUAUCCCAGGGGCAUGAAAUGUGGUGAUUGGUCAGAAAUAACAGAAAUUUAUUUCUUAUAGUCCUGGAGGCUGAAAGUUCAAGAUCAGUAUACUGGUAGAUUCUGUGUCUAUACUUCCUAGAUGCUCAUCUUUUGCUAUAAUCAUACAUGGCAGAAGGGACUCUCCAGUGUCUCUCUCUUUCUCUUUUAAUCAUCAGAUAAUUUGUAUUUGGUUUAAGUAAAUCCAGUCAUAAUAAUAUAUAUGACCUGUUGCUUUACAGAAAUAAAAAAACUACGAUUAGUAAU